rnacentral:lncRNA from 1 species
UUCUUUCUCAAUUUUCAGCAAAAACAAACGCGGCAAACUUUCCUCCCCCUUUUCCCCCCGAAUCCCUCCCCCUUUUAUUUUCAUUUUGGCUUUCACCUUCUCCAAUUCAUUCAACCCUUCGACUCGUGCUUUGAGUUACGAGGUUCAAAUGAGCGACAACCUUAUCUUCCAGUGCUGCGGUUAUGGCUUGAAAUUGUAUGCUCCUCCAUCUCUAGUUUUAGUUAUUUCUACUUUAGGGUUUCAAUUCCUUGAAUGCUUCGAUUUAGGUUUUUAGUUAGGAGGUCCUAACCAGGGUCGACUCUUUCUCAAAGCAAAAACAUGGGCAUCAAAUAAACUAUUUUCUUGCAGGUUCUAAAUAAAGAUAGUGUGGUUCAUCCACAUCAGUAUUUAUAGCUCCAUUUCAGUUCUAAUCAAUGGUCCCAUGUCUUAUUCGGUUAGUAUUUCUAUUAUAACUUUUUUUUUUUAAAUAUUACGUUCCUUUCUAUUGAUUGUAGAUUCACAAGCAGAUCGUGACUAUAAUUUUUUUUAGGUAUAUUUAUGCCUUUUGGAAUUGGGAUAGAUGUAGAUUUUGGCAUCUGCUUUGUCUAUAUUUUUUGCGGUGUAAUGCUCUUAAAGAAUAGGUUAUUUCUGGCAUUGCGGAUGCAAGUCUCUCUUUGGCUGUGUUACUUUGAUUCCGACAUCUCACUGUAAGUUUGUUUCUGCUUUGUCUAUAUUCGUUUCUUUAGCAUCUAUGUUUGAAAAUUGACUUAAUACAUUUCAAUUGUACUGAUUUUAUCCUUAUUAGUGAUGGAAACUCAAAGUGGAAAUAGUUACACUUAAUGAUGUGAGUAUUACUAUCGUGAAUCUUGAGGAAGAUGUUAUAUCCGUAUCUCUAGUUUCAAUGGACAUUUUGGGUUCCAAGGGAUUGAAUGUAUUGUGAGAUUAGGUGUUAUCUGUUCUUUGAGAAAAUUCGAUGAAGUCUAAUAAUAAUUGUGAUUUCAAUUAGGACCUUAAGAGGAUUAGUUGCCUUGUUAAAAUUAAAACUAUAGUGACCUUUCUGUUCCGUAGUUUUAUUGUUUAAUCUUAGUGUCUUGCACAAAAUAAUUUUGAGGUUCAAAAAGUAAAUCCUUUUUCUAGAUAAAAGCAAUUGUAUUAUAAAGCUAGCACUAAGGAAGUGAUGUAAUAUUUUUUUUUUGGUCAAAGCGCUGUAGUAAUUAAAAGUGAGCAAAACACCAGAAGAAGAAACAAUUUCCAAUAUUACAGGGAUUUCAAGAAUAAAUAUUUGUGUCAUGCAUCCAUAAAGCCUUAUUUGUACUACCAAUUAUCAUUCAUUCACUACUUUUUUAUAAGCUGCUAGUGCCGGUUAGUAGUUCUACUUGUAUAUUUGUAUAUAAUUGCUCUUGAAUUAUCUGUACUACCAAUUAUACUUGCCUCCUUUUUUCCCAUGAUAUCGCAAGUACGGAGAGAAAAACAAUUGCUAAUACAGUGAAACAUGAGAUGGAGAAAAAGAGGUAAUUCUCUGCUUUAAUAGAAACCUUUAUUGUUUAAUAUACAGUAGGGAUUUAAACACAUGGAAAGAAAUAUUCAUGAUUUGACCAAUAAAAAAUGAAACCUUUGAUAUGCAAAGAGAAAGUGGUACCAAAUGCAACAACUCAUAGUACUAAAUAUCACUUAGUCAUUUGCAAUUCUCAUUGUAAUCACCCGGACUUAUUUUGAGAAAAAAAAUUUAACUUAGCAUAAAGAAAGAUAUUACUCUUUACAAAUUUCAUAUAUAGAGAACUUGGUUCUUUCUGUUGCAGCUUGAGUGGAUUGUUCUCUAAUCACAUAUAAGUAUUAAUUAAAUAUUUCAAAUCAUGUCCUACCUUUAUCCUUCUUUAUGUUAAGCAGCCUAGGAGGAAACCCAAGGAAGAAGGCUAUUGUUUCUGUUCUAACACUAUCCAUUACUGAUUGCAUCACUUUUUCCCUUAUGAUGGUCCAAUAUUUCUUGCACCCUAUAAUUAUGAUUAUGGCAUGACUGUCAUACAUGUUUCUAGUAGAGUUGUACCUGCUGUGUAAUUCCAAACGCACAACCAGUUAAGUUUAUUUGAGGAUUCUUGAUUUUGUCAAUGAAUUGGAAAAGCUAUGAAGGAGAUUAACAUUGAUGGAACCAUGUCAUAUAGUGAAUUGUAUGUUUCGUUUCCUCUACUUUGUUUUACAGCCUUCACAUUCUUGCUAUUAUUUAUACUUGUUGAUCUUAUAGUGUUAUAUUUUGGAAGAAGAGGACGAGGCAAGUCUACAAGUCAUGCUAAGUAACUUAAUCUUUCAUGAAAAAAGUAAAUAUCUUGGAUGUAUGUACAAAAGAGUCUAUUUACUUGAAUCAAUCUUUGUAUUGUAUUUGAUUUUGACUAUAAUAUUGUAUUUUUGGGAAUAUUUAGUAGGUUUUGGUGCAGCAACUUUGUUUGGGAAAGUAUUCAGCUUUGAUGUGGUUUUUUGAAAGAUUUAUGUAACGACCCGACCGGUCGUUUUGAGCUCUAGCGCGUCAUUCAGCAGUUUGAGACCAUGAGUAGCUUCACUUCAGGUAUUAUGACUUGUACGCAUGGUCGGAAUUAAAAUUUCGGAAGUUCAGAGUUGAUUUGGAAAGAAAAUUCUUAUUUCGGAAGCUUUAAGUUGGAAGAAUUGACUAAGGUUGGAUUUUUGAGCAAACGACCUCGGAAUCGGGAUUUGAAGAUUCCAACAGGUUCGUAUGAUAAUUUUGGACUUGGGCGUAUAUUCGGGUCAAAUUUUAGAUGAUCCGGGAACGUUUUGACACCUAUUAUAGAAGUUGGCAUUUUUAGAAAGAUUUCUUAAAUUUGAGUUGAAGUGCAUUUCAAUGUUAUCAAUGUCUGUUUGGGAUUCUGAGCCUAGGAAUAGCUCCGUAUGGUGAUUCUGGUAUUGGAAAUGCGUCCAGAAGUGGAUUCGGAGGUCCGUAGGUCAUUUUGGGAUCAUUUGGCGGAAGUUAGAGAUUGGAAGAUUUUUGAGAAGUUUGACCGGGAGUGGACUUUUUGAUAUCAGGGUCGGAUUCUGAUUCCGAAAGUUGGAAUAGGUCCAUAAUGUCGAAUGUGACUUGUGUGCAAAAUUUGAGGUCAAUCGGACGUGAUUUGAUAGGUUUCGGUAUCGAAGGUAGAAGUUUGAAGUUCUAAAGUUCAUUAAGCUCGAAUUGGGCGUGAUUCAUGAUUUUGAUGUUGCUUGAUGUGAUUUGAGGCCUCGAGCAGGUUCGUGUUAUGUUAUGGGACUGGUUUGUGUGAUUGGACGGGGUCCCGGGGGUCUCGGGUGUAUUUCGGGUGGUUUCGGACCAAGUUGGAGCUGUUUUGGACUGUUGUUUCUGGUGUCUGGUUUCCUUCUUCACGAACGCAAAGGAAAUCCCGCGUUCUCAAAGAAAAAAUUUUGGGGUGCUGGAUUUGGCCUUCGCGAACGCGACGCAGUGGUCACGAACGCGAAGAAGGAAGGGGAACCGGGACCCUGAGCCAUUAAGCCUUCGCGAAUGCGAAUCUUAGACUGCAAACGCGAAGAAGGAGGGCAGUUGGCUACCGCGAACGCGAGAGCUUGAACGCGAACACGAUGUUGUGCAUGGUCAGGCCUUUGUGAACGCGACACUGGUCACGCGAACGCGAAGAAGAACGAGUCUGGGCAGAUUGGAUUUAAUACAGGAUUUGGCUCAUUCUCUCUCAUUUUUCACUGGGAUGGACGAUUUUUGGAGAGCUUCAAGGAGAGAUUUUCAUCAUCUAUGUCAAGGUAAGUGAUUCCCACCUAUUGCAAGUUAAAUACUUGGUUUAUAUAUGGAUUUAAACAAGAAAAUUAGUAGAAAAUUUGAUUUUUUAAGAAAAACGUAGAAAUUCGUAUUCUUGGAUUUUUGACCACGAAUUUGGGCAUGGAAUUAGAAAUAAAUCAUACAUUUGAGUUCGUGAGGUUAUGAGUAUUGGUUAUCUUCAAAAAAAUUUAGAAUCCGGGGACGUGGGCCCGAGGGUGCUUUAUCGACUUUUCGAGCGGAGUUGAAAAUUGUUGUAAAUUGAUUACUUUUGAGUAUUAGAGCAUAUUUUGAUUGGGUUGCAUCUUAUUUGACUAGUUAUGGAGCGUUGGACAUUUAUUUGAGUUGAUUUUUAAUGGCUUGGGAGCCGGUUAUUCGGAGCGAGAUAAGUCUCCUUUCUAACCUUGUAAGAGAGAAUUUACCUCAUAGGUGAAAUAAAUCAAUAUGAGCUCCUAUUUGUGGGGGCUACGUACGCACGAGGUGACCAGAGUCCGUGCAUAGCUACUAUUAUGCUUAAGUCUGGGUAGUCUAGGAUCCCAAAGAAUGCUCUACUUGUAAUAUUUGCAACCUUGUUGUCAAUUUAAAAUGCUUAAAUCAUAUUGAACUUGGUAAAUAAAUUUUCUAAAAAGCUAAACAUCAUUUCUUGACUGUUAAAAGAGCAAUUGCCAUUUCCUUAGAUAAUUCCCCCUUGAUGAAUUAUCGAUUGACUGUUUGAAUGUGUUUAUCUUUGUGGAACGGGACGAACGCCUCGGUAGAUUAGAUAGAUGCAUCUAUGAUUCGCGCCAUUCGACCCUCUGGCAGUGCACAAUUUAAAUAUUUAUUGGAUCGGGUCGUACGACCCUGGCAUGAUUUGCGCAUGACCUAAUUGAUUGUUUUGGAAUUACUGAUAAUUGAUAUGGCCUCAUUGGCCAGAGAUAUAAAUUGUUAAAAGAUGAAAAUAAAUUUGGAAAUCCCCUAUUAACAAGAGAAUUAUUUACCUGCCUCAUGUUAUUGUGUUUACCGUUGUCUCAUAAAAUUCAUAAUUCAUCAUAUCAUUGGUAUAUUAAUUAUAUCCUAUAGUAAGUGUCUGAGUCGACCCCCCGUCACUACUUCUUCGAGGUUAGGCGGGAUACUACUGAGUACGCAUUAUUUUCGUACUCAUGCUACACUUGCUGCAUAUUUUUGUGCAGGUACACAUAUGUUUAGCGGCCUUGUGGGCGCAGAUGCGGGAUUAUGGCGAGGACUUAAGUGAUGCAUUCUAUACGACGCUCCGCAGCCAAUAGAGUCUCCUUCAGAGUACUUAUACUUUUCCUGUCCAAUUUGUAUUCCGGACAGCUGUUGUAUUUUAUUUUAUAUUCCUAGUUAAUGCUCAUGCACUUGUGACACCGGGUUUUGGGAUGAUUAUGGGUUGCACUGUAUUGAAAUUUUUAAAGAUAUUAUUAUGUAUUUUGUAAACUCCAUCUUCUACUAUUUAAUUGAGGGGAAAAACUGUAAUUUCA